UACAGAGGUCUCAAGCGUUGUUCGGAUUCAUUGGGCGUAAAGGGUGCGUAGGCGGCGCGGUAAGUCGGGUGUGAAAUCUCGGAGCUUAACUCCGAAACUGCAUUCGAUACUGCCGUGCUUGAGGACUGGAGAGGAGACUGGAAUUUACGGUGUAGCGGUGAAAUGCGUAGAUAUCGUAAGGAAGACCAGAGGCGAAGGCGGGUCACUGGACAGGUAUUGACGCUGAGGAGCGAAAGUGUGGGGAGCGAACAGG
rnacentral:rRNA from 1 species